UAACUUAGUGGCGGACGGGUGAGUAACGCGUGGGUAACCUGCCAUAUACAGGGGGAUAACACUUAGAAAUAGGUGCUAAAACCGCAUAAGCGCACAGCUUCGCAUGAAGCAGUGUGAAAAACUCCGGUGGUAUAUGAUGGACCCGCGUCUGAUUAGCCAGUUGGCAGGGUAACGGCCUACCAAAGCGACGAUCAGUAGCCGGCCUGAGAGGGUGAACGGCCACAUUGGGACUGAGACACGGCCCAAACUCCUACGGGAGGCAGCAGUGGGGAAUAUUGCACAAUGGGGGAAACCCUGAUGCAGCGACGCCGCGUGAGUGAAGAAGUAUUUCGGUAUGUAAAGCUCUAUCAGCAGGGAAGAAAAUGGCGGUACCUGAGUAAGAAGCCCCGGCUAACUACGUGCCAGCAGCCGCGGUAAUACGUAGGUGGCAAGCGUUAUCCGGAUUUAUUGGGCGUAAAGGGAACGCAGGCGGUCUUUUAAGUCUGAUGUGAAAGCCUUCGGCUUAACCGGAGUAGUGCAUUGGAAACUGGGAGACUUGAGUGCAGAAGAGGAGAGUGGAACUCCAUGUGUAGCGGUGAAAUGCGUAGAUAUAUGGAAGAACACCAGUGGCGAAAGCGGCUCUCUGGUCUGUAAUUGACGCUGAGGUUCGAAAGCGUGGGUAGCAAACAGGAUUAGAUACCCUGGUAGUCCACGCCGUAAACGAUGAAUGCUAAGUGUUGGAGGGUUUCCGCCCUCCAGUGCUGCAGCUAACGCAAUAAGCAUUCCGCCUGGGGAGUACGACCGCAAGGUUGAAACUCAAAGGAAUUGACGGGGGCCCGCACAAGCGGUGGAGCAUGUGGUUUAAUUCGAAGCAACGCGAAGAACCUUACCAGGUCUUGACAUCUUCUGACAAUCCUAGAGAUAGGACUUUCCCUUCGGGGACAGAAUGACAGGUGGUGCAUGGUUGUCGUCAGCUCGUGUCGUGAGAUGUUGGGUUAAGUCCCGCAACGAGCGCAACCCUUAUUGUUAGUUGCCAGCAUUAAGUUGGGCACUCUAGCAAGACUGCCGGUGACAAACCGGAGGAAGGUGGGGAUGACGUCAAAUCAUCAUGCCCCUUAUGACCUGGGCUACACACGUGCUACAAUGGACGGUACAACGAGUCGCAAGACCGCGAGGUUUAGCAAAUCUCUUAAAGCCGUUCUCAGUUCGGAUUGUAGGCUGCAACUCGCCUACAUGAAGUCGGAAUCGCUAGUAAUCGCGGAUCAGCAUGCCGCGGUGAA
rnacentral:rRNA from 1 species